rnacentral:lncRNA from 1 species
UACUUCAAAGUUUGUAUUACUAAUAAGAGGGUCAUGGGUAAUUUUUAAUGAAAGAUGGCACGCCUCCAACCAUUUUAAAAGGAUUACACUUAAUUAAACCUAAAGAUAUUUACAUCCAAAAAUGGGCUCAAGCCAUUGAUUAAUGUGUAAAGCAAUGCAACAAGCCUAAGCUAAUCGAGGCAGGAACUGGGCCAACGCCAGGCCCAGUGUAUUAUUGCACGCUUCUCCUCUUCUUUGAUAAAAGAGAUGGGCAUCAUCACUCAUUUGGCUCAGAAUUGAGCCUAGGUGCAAGUUACGCAAUUAAACCCAAACGCAAGCCAAAAAGAGAUUCCCUGCUACAGGCAUAAUGAGUUGGCUACUGCAUAAUUGACAAAGUAAGAGGAAAUUCAAAAGUCCUCACUACAUUGGAACCUCUGACAUGCUGACAAACAUAUACACAUAGUGACAAAAAUAGUAAAUAAAAGAAAUCAGUCUUUACAAACACAUGUUACUGGCAUGCACCCAUUCAUUCUUCUAAUUAAGGAUUAAACAUUAGUCUUUCAAUUUUACUUGACUAACAGUGAAUGAAUAAACAUCAGAAAUACACAUAAAACAUUACUCGCACACACACAUCAUACAAGAAAUAGACAUGAAUCUCGAUCAGUUGCACCGAAAUUUUACGAGACACUACAGAUAAAGCCUUAUCUCUCUAUGUAAAAAUCUUUGCAUUUUUUUCAAAUAAUCACAGAGUAAGCAAAUAAGCAGCUGGCUUUUCUCACAAGCAUAUAUAUCUUCUCAUAGAAUGACAUCUAGAGGAAAUGGCUUUUGGGCAAAAAUGUGUAUUGUUCCAUAACUACUCCCCCCCCCCCCCCGUAUCACCUUACAUCCUAAAGGCUCCAAAUCCUCUCACUAUUCCAGAUUCCAUUUAUGACACAGGAAGAUUUUGGGCAAUGAAUACCAAGGAAGAGAAAAGUCCCCUUUACUAGUGUAAUAGACAAUUGUACAAUCAAAAUUCUAACUUUACUAGUAAACACAUAAGGAAAGGAACUUCCAUAAAUGAAGACUAAUCAUAUAAGACCAAAUUAAAACUGCAUUACGAGCUGAGACAGAAAUAAAGAGAUGCAGCAGAACCAUUACACGAGAGCUUUUGACGAUGUUAUAUAUGAAGGGGUUCUAAUGGGAGAGGUAACUGAUAAGGGAACUAAAAGGAAAAGAGAAGAAGUGAUUAACCAACCUAAAACCAAUGCACAUCAAUAAACACACACAUACAAACAUAUAUUCUGCUGUAUCUCAGUGUCGUUUUAAGCCUGAAUCUUUAGUUUAAACGAGAAGAGGCUACAAAAAGUAAUGCACGACUCAAUGAGCACUUUAAACGACUUAAAAUUUUGAUCUUUAUAUACAACAACAUCAUGCUCAAAUAUAUUUGACUUAUGCUAUUGAAACCAAAGACAAACAAUGAGAGGGAUUCAAAGCUAGCAUCAACGAUUGAGCCAACUGGUCUUACAAAACUGGGUAGAAACUAACGAAAGCAAUUUUUCAUUUCAUGAUCCGAUGUAGAGCAACAAAGAAGAUGAACAUACCUAUUAGCAAAACAACUGAAAAUAUCAACUGAAACUCUGAAAUAGGAGAAGAAAUUCAGCAAGAGUAACAAUAGCUCAAUAGAUCAGCCAACCAAAUCCAAAUUGCAACAAAAAAUCGGACAGAAAAACCACAGCGCCAAAGCUCCAAAUCCCAGCGACAAAACCCCAACUUAAACUUCAAUCCAAAACCAUACUUGAAGAACAGAGAUCGAAGAGAAAAUGCGGAGAUUUGUAAUUUUAAAUUCUUUUGAAAUGAAGUGAAACUUGAAUCAACAAUCAAACUCAAACCAUACUUUAUAUAUAUAUAUAUAUAU